rnacentral:rRNA from 1 species
AUUGAACGCUGGCGGCAGGCCUAACACAUGCAAGUCGAACGGGAGGCGGACGGGUGAGUAGUGGAUGGGGAUCUGCCCAAUAGAGGCGGAUAACUGGUGGAAAAGGUGGCUAAUACCGCAUACGAUCGGAUCGACCCAUAUGGGAUUAGCUAGUAGGUGGGGUAAAGGCUCACCAAGCGACGAGGCCUAGCUGGCCUGAGAGGCUGAUCAGCCACACUGGGACUGAGACACGGCCCAGACUCCUACGGGAGGCAGCAGUGGGGAAUAUUGCGCAAUGGGGGCAACCCUGACGCAGCCAUGCCGCGUGAAUGAAGAAGGCCUUCGGGUUGUAAAGUUCUUUCGGUAGCGAGGCGGUAACUACAGAAGAAGCACCGGCUAACUCCGUGCCAGCAGCCGCGGUAAUAC